CUUCUGAACUCAACAUAAACUACACGUGGUGCUCUGUGCAGAUGGACCAUGCAGCUGAAAAGAUGGUGCAGGGGUGUUUCCACAUUUUCAAUGACCUUUUCAGCCAGAGUGCCAUGGCGAGGCCAUUUUUACCACCCUCUUCCAUAAAGAUGUAGCGCUACAGCAACUGUGAUCUUCCUGUACUUUGCAAGGGAGAAGACAGCAGCAGAAGAUGGGGAUCCACUUUGCAAAGGCUUUCAUGGUUGUGAAACUGAAGGAACUUGAAUUUAAACCUUCUGUGAAUGACUUUCCCAGAGGCCCUUCUGGAGGUUUGAAGCUAGAAGGAAC